rnacentral:lncRNA from 1 species
AACUAAUAUUUAGACUUUUUUUUUCUUUUUUGAGAGAUAGGUAGCAUGCUAUCUGCUUCGUUUUAUUUCAUUUAGAAAUAAACUUAGCUGGAAAUGUGAAUUAACUAGGAUUCGAACUUGGAUCUCGAGUACCAACCACCAAGUCCUUUGCCACUUGCUCUAGAGACGGUCGAUAAUAUUUAGACAUUUGACACUUGUUUGCUUUUACUAUA